GUGGGGAAUAUUGGGCAAUGGGCGCAAGCCUGACCCAGCAAUGCCGCGUGGGUGAAGAAGGUCUUCGGAUUGUAAAGCCCUUUCGGCGGGGACGAUGAUGACGGUACCCGCAGAAGAAGCCCCGGCUAACUUCGUGCCAGCAGCCGCGGUAAUACGAAGGGGGCUAGCGUUGCUCGGAAUUACUGGGCGUAAAGGGCGCGUAGGCGGCUGUAUCAGUCAGGCGUGAAAUUCCUGGGCUUAACCUGGGGGCUGCGCUUGAUACGGUAUGGCUAGAGGACGGAAGAGGCUCGUGGAAUUCCCAGUGUAGAGGUGAAAUUCGUAGAUAUUGGGAAGAACACCGGUGGCGAAGGCGGCGAGCUGGUCCGUUACUGACGCUGAGGCGCGACAGCGUGGGGAGCAAACAGGAUUAGAUACCCUGGUAGUCC
rnacentral:rRNA from 1 species